rnacentral:rRNA from 2 species
CUUAGCCCUUAACAUAGACAGUAAACACACAAUACUGUCCGCCAGAGAACUACAAGUGAAAAACUAGAAACUCUAAGGACUUGGCGGUGCCCCACACCGACCUAGAGGAGCCUGUCCUAUAAUCGAUAAUCCACGCUAUACCUCACCACCCCUUGCAAUUCAACCUAUAUACCGCCGUCGUCAGCCUACCUUAUGAAAGAAGCAAAGUAGGCAAGAUAGUUAAUAACUAAAACGUCAGGUCAAGGUGUAGUAUAUGGGCUGGCAGAGAUGGGCUACACUUUCUACUACAGAACACACGAACAGCACAAUGAAACAUGUGCUUGAAGGCGGAUUUAGCAGUAAGACAAACAAGAAAAUUCAUCUGAAACCCGCUCUGGGGCGCGCACACACCGCC